rnacentral:tRNA from 1 species
GCGGGAGUAGUUUAGCGGUAGAACAUCGGCUUCCCAAGCCGAGGGUCGCGGGUUCGAACCCCGUCUCCCGCUCCA